AGUAAUGUAUAGUUAAUCUGCCCUUUAGAGGGGGAUAACAGUUGGAAACGACUGCUAAUACCCCAUACUCCUUCUAUGUUAAUCAUAGCUGGGAAAUGUUUUUUCGCUAAAGGAUGAGACUAUAUGGUAUCAGGUAGUUGGUGGGGUGAGAGCCUACCAAGCCAAUGACGCCUAGCUGGUCUGAGAGGAUGAUCAGCCACACUGGAACUGAGACACGGUCCAG
rnacentral:rRNA from 1 species